rnacentral:rRNA from 1 species
GACGAACCUUGCUAACGUUAUUCGGAAUUACUGGGCUUAAAGGGUGCGUAGGCGGUGCAGCAAGUCGGGUGUGAAAUCCUCCAGCUCAACUGGAGAAUUGCGCCCGAAACUGCUGUGCUUGAGAAAGAUAGAGGUACGCGGAACUUAGGGUGGAGCGGUGAAAUGCGUUGAUAUCCGGAGGAACACCGGUGGCGAAGGCGGCAUCCUGGACCGGUAUUGACGCUGAGGCGCGAAAGCCAGGGGAGCAAACGGG